ensembl:lincRNA 6820426E19Rik RIKEN cDNA 6820426E19 gene
GGUGACAUUUUUCUUGAUCUUCUCUAGGGAAGACUGAAGAUCAUUCUGGGGUUUGUGGUCUCUCUUUGUUCCAAUAAAUGACUUGAAGGCAUCAAGACACAGAGGCAUGGAAGCGGAGUCCUCUGGAGGUGGGGUUGAGAAGACCCAAACCUGCUGCUGCUUCCUGGCUCACUUAGGUGUAUGGCCACAGGGACAUCCUGAGUAGGACCAGCGGCUGGCAAGGCCUCCUCCGGUCAUUGGCAUCCUGGUCACUUGAUGCUCAGGGACAGGAAGCAAGAUGAACCCAAGACUAGGUCAAUCAGCAGGUAACAAAAUACAGAUUCCGUAGGUGACAAGGCUUGGUGAGGGGAGUCCGUAAGGGUCUCAGGAGGCUACAGUCACAAUGCUGGUCAGCUUGCAUCCUCUUCUGAACCUCCACCAAUGCUCAGUGGCUGCUGGCAGAACUCAACCUCCCUGCAACUGUGGGAUAGAGCCAAGCCACACCUAUGACUCAGCAGAAAGUAGAGGACAUUUGUUUCUCUACAUCCCUGUGCCCAGACCAGGAAGGCUGCAAAUGUAACCUGCUAUUGCCAAGAUCCAUCCAAGAAAUCACCCUCCAGUCUCUGCUCCCCUGACUCUGUGAUGUGGGUUAUUCUGGAAACACGGCACCUCACAGGCAGAGCCUGAGAGAAACCAGGCUAGAAAACAAGUUCUAAGCAGCAUGUGUGGAGGUACGGGGGUGGGGGAGGGAAAGAACACAGGUAGGGUCCUGAAGGCCACUGCCCCUCAGCAAUCCUCCUCACCUCUGUGUCCUCAGGAGGAUGUGCCAACCUAAAAUGUAUUUGCCUAGAUAAGGCCACCAUUGUGACCACACCCACAGGGAUCUGCAAAGGUGGUGGGCAGGGCUGCCUCCAGCAUCUGUGGCAAGAAGGCUGGGAGGUAGAGGCAAAAAGGAAGGUAACCACUGCAAGUGGUUGCAAAAAUGAGCACUUCUUUCUCAGUGUGCCACUAAGCAUAUCAAAGUUCCAACUAAAGUCACUUGAGGUGACCAAAGAGGAUUUCUGGGAUGGUCUGCCUGGGCAGCUAUCACAAACACCACAGACUGGGCUCUAGAAGAGGGAAAUAAAACAGAAGUCUAAGAUCAAAUGCUGUCUGUUAGUCCCUUCUGAGCCCAUCCCACUUGACAUUAUAAACCCAGUCAAUAAGAUCCUACGAUGUGACCCAGAAGGUUUAGGGAGUCUGGGAAUCAACAUAGGAACAAGACUGCCCUUUUGAAAUUCAGACCCAGGGGCCAGACCCAUGAUAGUAGGUAGUCCACAAAGUGAUUUUGAAAAUAAGGUGGGGUCUGGAUAUUGGGGCUUAGGCACUUUAGAGCAGAGGGGGCUAUGGAGACAAAGACAGGCAAUAGACCACAGAUGAGGCGGCUUAGACAGACACAGUGAAUGGGGCAUUACAGUAAAGCAACAGAGUCACCACAUAGCCUACAGAAUUCAGCAAGUAUUCAGGAAGCAGAGAUGAGCCUCCUGCUUCCUUCCCCCAGGACAAAUAACCAACUGUAAAGAAUAUUUUACAGGGCAGGAGGUUUUUCACUCCCUCGUGUGGAAUGAAAAUCCCUGGACUGGGUUCACAGUGUCCUCUUGUCAGAUCGUGUUUCAGAUGGUCCAUUCUAGGUCUUGAACUCUCCUUGACACACUACAUUAUUUUUCUCCAAUUCUUUUACUACACUACAUAAAUAAUAAAACAUAGAUGAGGUCCAGGUCUCCAUCCAUCACUCACUCACCAUAGCUUCGUAAAACUGGAGGGAACACUGCAUCUUCUCAAGGAACUCAACCCUCCACUGCGUUGGCAUCCACCAUCUUCCUCCAUUCUCCUCCCCGCUAACCCUUUUUAAAUGUUUUGUUUUGUUUUGUAUACCAAAACAAUAUGUAUGUAAAAUAUAUAACAUGUUACAUAUUUUAUAGACAUAUAAUAAAGGAUGUUUUAAAAACC